AACAGGACGAUCGGGGGGGAAGAAGAAACAAAGGAAGGACAAGUCGCACCUGGGCGGCGUGGAUCACAACGAACAUGAGUCUCUGGUGCUGGAAGAUGAGCUGCAGAGAUCUGAGGUGGAGCUUCUGUCUAUUGUCUAAUUUCUACAUUAAAAAUAAAUUCUAACGCAGAGUUCCGUGAUGUGCAUGUAAACGUCAUCGUCCGGUUGACCUCACGUUUUCGGCCGUGGACUCACCCGCUCCAGUUGGAUGAAGAACGUUUGAUCCCAGCAGAGUCUGCUGACGGUGGCCCACCGCGUCCGGCCGACCACCCUGCCGUCCAGCCUGAGCACUGCACUGAUCUCUGCUGUGGGAGGACACAUGAAUGAGGCAGCACUAGAAAAAUCACAUAUUACACAUUCAUCUGACUGUAAAUUUGAACUUUCUACCAAUUUUUUGAACUUUCUGUUUUACUCUACUACCCAGAUUCAGUUCUUUCCAGAAUCCUUCCCAAGUAAUAACUCAUAAUAAAGAUGUCGUACUCUUUAUGAA